UUCCUCUACAGCAAGCUAGUCCUGUGUCCAAGCCAAAGUAUUCAGGCCUUUGUUUUGGAUGUUUUGCUGUAAAACAGAGUGCUAGUAAAAUGAAUUAGUUCCAUAUUCCACAUGUGAUGUAAACUACUAGGAUGGGGUUCCUUCUAUAGGACCCCUUUAGGGAUGGGAUGUUCCCGUGGUAAUAUGGAUUUUAAACUAGUCAACAGUUUUAUUCCAACUUUACUCUUGAAGAAAACCCCACUUUUAAAAUCUUAUUCUGGUGUCCUUGAUUCCAAGUUAGACUUGAAUGCUCAAAUCUACUGGCUGAAAUGCCGUUUAAUAAACAAUAAUUUCCUAUUGGCAUUUAAAUGUUCACUUUUUUUUUUCUUGUACUUCAGUUACUCUGGUAUUUCAUUACCAAAAAUAAAACGCUAUUUGAGUAAUUAAAACGUCCUUCACCAUUAGGAAUCUUGUUUGUAUUGCUCAUUAGUCUCUAGAGUGUGGCCUCUGGUUUCUUUUAAUCCUUGUAUUGUAUUUCAGUUACAAAAAUAAAGAAACAUCAAAA